GAAAAGAAGUAAAACCUCGAGUGCAACAAAGAUCUAUCACAGAUCUAAGAAAAUAAAGAAAGAAAGAACCUUGAAUGGCUUUUAGGGUUUCUCAGAAACCCCAGAGAUGAGAAGGCUUGGAAAGGAUCUGGUCUUGAAUAGGUCUGGACCAUAGCUAGGCCUUUCAAGGCUCAAACACGUUGGAGCGGAGCCGGAGAAGCCACAGGAACAUAGAUCAGCGGAGGAUCUGGACAGGCAUUGUUAAAGUUGAACCUCAAAACCCUCAAACAACCACGAUUUGGGGUGAAAGGGAGAUGGCACAGGCCAUUCAUGGCCUGAGAAGCCAUGGAUGCUGGUAGAAUUUUGUCGGAGAAGAUGAUAGGGAGCGGCUAGGGUUCGAAUGUUAGAGAGAGUUUGAGAGAAAC
rnacentral:lncRNA from 1 species